CAGGGAAAGCAGUUGCAUUGUACUUUGAAGAUAAACUCACAGAGAUCUACUCAGACAGGACCUUCGCACCUUUGCCAGAGUUUGAGCAGGAAGAGGAUGAUGGUGAGAGAACAGACUUCUCAAAAAAUCUUCAGAAGCAGCUUAUUAUUGAAAUAUCGAAAUAUUGAAAUAAACCCGGUGGGGUUAGAUUACUCAUCUGUCCACCAAGUGGGACAUUUGCAUGGACUGGGGGCUUAAAGGACUUAGAAGAGACCUGUAAGUAAAUCCUGAAAAUGAGCCAAUCCCCACUUGAAUGGUUACUGGAGUAAACCCACCUUUACCACCCGAAUUACAGCACCCGAGGCCGAUAAACCAA
rnacentral:sRNA from 1 species